CUCAUUAUGGGUUUGAUUUGCACUUCCCUGGUGAAAAUAAUGUGUCUCGGCUGAGUGGAACCCAGCCACCCAACCACGGGCCUUUCUCCUGAGCAUGCGAGAUAAGGAGCAGUCAGAUGCAAUCCCUCCCCACCCCCCACUAGAAGCAGGCGCUCACCUGCGGUUGCCAGGACUACCAUGGCGCAGCUCAGAGCACCUUCAGCAAUCAGCCGCCGGACCCCCAACACCAUUCGGCAAGUUCCGGGAAGCACGAAGUCCUCUCCCCACCCAGAGUGCCGCCGAGGACGCUCGGUCCUCUAGGAAGGAGGCCCCAAGCUGGGGUCCAGGCACCCCUUGGCCUCGCCAUUACUCACCCGCCUCGCUGUAGGCCAGGCACAGCACCCUGCCCAGCGUGGAAAAGGCGCACCUCGGCUGGCACAACUCCUGUCCCGCCACUGCGAAUGCCUCCACCUUACAGCCUGCCGCCACGAAGAGAGCGUCGCGUCCGCCGCCGCAGAACCGCUCCGGCUCCAACUUGCAGGGCACCACCUGCUGCGACCCGAACGGGUGCAGAUUGUACAGCUGCACCAUCCUGGCGACCCACUGCGGGGCAGCCCGGCGGGGCGGCUCCCUCCUGCACGCCCCGCGGGGCGCCUGGAGACCCCGUGCCGGUCACCGGAGCUGGACCACUUCCGCCAGCGAUUGCACAGAGCCGAGUCACGUGAGCUCCACCCGGGUCGCCUGCGGCUCCCCUUCUUAAAGUGGCUGCUAGUUACGGGGCAAGGCCCGGCUGGGGAGGAGUCGCCUCUGCCCGGCGCACCCGCGCCCCACAGGCCCCUAGUCCUGGGACUUGGACCUGGCCGCCCUGUGCUGGCACUGCUCCGCGCUGCGUGGUUGACGGGCCUAGAGACCUCUGUGCCCCUUCAUUCGUCAUUUUACAGCCCUGUUUUGGGCUGGGCGAGAUGUUUAGGCCCUUGAGUACGUUUAAACAUUUGAUCAUCUAGGAUCUUGUACCAUUUUGUUCCUGAUUCAGGGGCAUCACUCGUGUCUCCCUGAUAGCCUGUGAGCUUCUGGAGGAUAGGGCUGGGAAAACUGAAGUGCAGUGCACACGGCUCAACUCCGGGCUAAAUAUACUGAAGAGUUGUUUGUUGGAAGGAGCAACACUUAGAAUGUACUUAGCAAAAGAAAAAAAAAAUUUGCUGAAGAAUCGUAGACAUCACCUAGUAAACUCCAGAUAUUUGACAAAAGAUUAGUUUGAGCCCCAGAGGAUGGAAGGACGAGGGGUGAAAUCCACUAGCUCUCAGUCCAGUGCACCUACGACUAUAGUAUAAUCUGGCCUGUAUCUAUUCCUGAUGUCUCAACGUGGAGCUCGUGGUUGCAAUCCCAAUUUAAAAAACAAAACAAAACACGUUUAGAUGGGGCUCCUGAAGUGGCUAAGUCAGUUAAGAGUCCAGCGCUUGAUCUCAGCUCGGUUCUUGAUCUCAGGGUCUUGAUCUAAGGGUGGUAAGUUCAGAUCCUACGUUGGGUUCCAUGCAGGGCGUGGAGCCUACUUAAAAAACAAAAACAACAACAACAAAAAACUCACACAUUUAGAUAAAGGGAGUGUUGGAACUACUGUUUACGAUUUAUCCAGAAAAUAAUGUAUGUAAGUAUGGAUUGAGGGA